rnacentral:rRNA from 1 species
AUUGAACGCUGGCGGCAUGCUUUACGCAUGCAAGUCGAACGGCAGCGGGGAGGAGCUUGCUUCUCUGCCGGCGAGUGGCGAACGGGUGAGUAAUACAUCGGAACGUGUCGAGAAGAGGGGGAUAACCACCCGAAAGGGUGGCUAAUACCGCAUAAAUUCUGAGGAAGAAAGCUGGGGACCUAGGUAUAGGCCUAGCGCUUGUUGAGCGGCCGAUGUCGGAUUAGCUAGUUGGUGAGGUAAAGGCUCACCAAGGCGAAGAUCUGUAGCGGGUCUGAGAGGAUGAUCCGCCACACUGGGACUGAGACACGGCCCAGACUCCUACGGGAGGCAGCAGUGGGGAAUUUUGGACAAUGGGGGCAACCCUGAUCCAGCCAUGCCGCGUGUAUGAAGAAGGCCUUAGGGUUGUAAAGUACUUUUGUUAGGGAAGAAAAGUCAGCUGUGAAUAAUGGCUGAUACUGACGGUACCUAAAGAAUAAGCACCGGCUAACUACGUG